rnacentral:rRNA from 1 species
CAUUAGCUAGUUGGUGAGGUAACGGCUCACCAAGGCAACGAUGCGUAGCCGACCUGAGAGGGUGAUCGGCCACAGUGGGACUGAGACACGGCCCAGACUCCUACGGGAGGCAGCAGUAGGGAAUCUUCCGCAAUGGACGAAAGUCUGACGGAGCAACGCCGCGUGAGUGAUGAAGGUUUUCGGAUCGUAAAACUCUGUUGUUAGGGAAGAACAAGUACCGUUCGAAUAGGGCGGUACCUUGACGGUACCUAACCAGAAAGCCACGGCUAACUACGUGCCAGCAGCCGCGGUAAUACGUAGGUGGCAAGCGUUGUCCGGAAUUAUUGGGCGUAAAGCGCGCGCAGGCGGUUUCUUAAGUCUGAUGUGAAAGCCCCCGGCUCAACCGGGGAGGGUCAUUGGAAACUGGGGAACUUGAGUGCAGAAGAGGAGAGUGGAAUUCCACGUGUAGCGGUGAAAUGCGUAGAGAUGUGGAGGAACACCAGUGGCGAAGGCGACUCUCUGGUCUGUAACUGACGCUGAGGCGCGAAAGCGUGGGGAGCGAACAGGAUUAGAUACCCUGGUAGUCCACGCCGUAAACGAUGAGUGCUAAGUGUUAGAGGGUUUCCGCCC